UUACAGGUGUGAGCCACUGCGCCCGACCGCUGCAGUUUAUAAGUUUUUUUUAAAAAAGUAUUAUCAGACAAUUCUGGGUGUGUGAUUCCAGGUUAGUAGGUUUGUUUUUUCCCCUCAUACUUUAAAGAUAUCAUUUCAUCAUCUCUGGCUUCCAUUGUUUCUAUUGAAAGAGAGAGUUCUCAGUUUAAUUGUUGCUACUUUGAAGAUAAAGUGUAUUAUUUUCCUCUGUCUUUAGUAUUUUCUUAUUACCUUUUUUUCUUUAGAAGUUUGACAGUAAGGGGUGUGUGUGUGUGUGUGUAUGUGUGUGUGUGUGUUUAAGAAAAAACUGAACUCCAGAUUGUAUUGGGAUUUUACCAGUUUUUGGAUUAAUGUUUCAGGAUACAAGCCAGUGUCUACUGCUUAUUUUUCAGGUUUACUCCAUCUCUUUUUGUUUCUCAGUCUUUCCUUAUUUUUUGUGACAGUAAGAGAGUACUGGUCAGGUUAUCUGGUCCCAUAGUCUGGGUUUAUAUGAUCUUUUUUACUCUUGAUUAGACUGGAGUUAUGGAAAGAACAUCAAAGGUAAAGUGCACUUCUCAUGUGAUUUUGUUUUUUUCUUGUGUGGAGAUUCCUGUGUCAAAAUUCCUGUGCAAAAUUUGCUGGGUUUAUUAAGUCUGUGGGUUGAUGUGCUUCAUCAGUGUUAGCCAAUUAUUGGCAGAAGGAAUAUUGUUCUUGUUCCAGGUUCCAUUCCUAGGAGGCAUCGCGUGUCUCUGCUUGCCUCUCAUGCUGGUCCAAUGUGUCUGAAAGACCAACGAAGCAGAUCUGCACCCAUCCUGCAGCUUGGAGCCAAGCCACUCUGAGCCCAGCCUAGAUCAGGUGGUCCCUAGAUGUCCUCCAGAUGCAUGAGCAAGAACAAAUGAUCGGAGACUUAGUUCCCUGAAUUGAAGCAUCCAGGGGAGCCUGCUGCAGCCUUCCAGCGUAAAGACUGGGGCCCAGGAACACACGAGUCCAGCUCUGGGUCCAAGCUCUGGCGGAGGAAGUAUCAGCAGCAGAUCCUGGAGGGGAAGGAGCCCCAGCACGGGUCUUACCUUGCUGUAAAUAAUCUGUAGUGUUAGAGGAACAGCCUCCCGGUCGCCAUCGAUGCCCAGCCGCUUGCUGCCAGGACCUGUGCCACACACAGACAGACCCUUCACUACCCCUGGCUUCCCCGGCUCCUCACGAACGCAGUGGCCUUGCCUCCCUGGGCCUUACCUCCCCAUCCCCUACCACAUGGACCGUGACUCCCUAGGGAUCUGUCUCACCAAGGCCCUGCCUCUCUCUCUGGCUCCACGUUCUGGGGAUCUCCACCUCCUCAGUGACCCCAUCACUCCAGGGCCCAUCUCCGCUGUGAUCACACAUUCCCAGGGUCCUGCCUCUCCAGGGCCCCAUCUCCGCUGUGAUCACACCUUCCCAGGGUCCUGCCUCUCCAGGGCCCCAUCUCCGCUGUGAUCACACCUUCCCAGGGUCCUGCCUCUCCAGGGCCCCACCUCCUGGGUAACCCUGCCUCCCCAGGGCCCACCUGCUGGGCAGUACCCACCUGACGCCUUGAUGGCACGUGUGGCAGCGGAGUGACCCAGCUCCAAGGAGUGGAUGAAGAUCUCUG